GCCCAGACCAGUUCAGGGACAAGAGGCCAUCAUCCCCUUUACACCCACAUUCAGCCUGCCUUCACACCUACACCCCAACAGUACUACUGUGUUCCUGCAACUAGGCCAGCCUCCCGAGGCCCCUGCUCCCACCUCUUGCCCAAAGGAAAAGCUUGGAAACCCAGCAUGUGGGCCACCCUCACACCAGCACCUGCCCAACUUCCCAUCCAUGUUCCUCCAACUACAUCCACCUAACCCCUUGAACCACUUUCCACUCCCACCUCGUUCCCAACAAAAAACGCUAGGAGCAAGCAGCCUGUGGGUGACCUGCACCUCAGCACCUAACUAACGCCCUCCUCCCUACCAUGUUUUUUCAACUAGGCCCACUUCCCCCUCCUCCCUACCACUACACUCACACCCACCCUAUCCCCUUCCCAUGACCAAAGGAAAGGGCAGAGUAAAGCAUAUGGGGGUCCUCAAACUAAAGCUUUAAUCUGAACACAAGUGGGAGAAGCAAGGGGCAAUGCUGGCCAGCCAAGCAGGGCCAUCUGUGGGAAAGGUUGUGUGGGAAGGACUCAUCAAUGAUGUGCGAUGAUUAGAUGGGGCUGGCAGAUGGGUGGGUCAGCAACCCAGAGCCAAGCAAUGGCAGCAGCAGCAGCAGCAGCAGCAGCAGCAGCAGCAGCAGCAGCAGAACCAGCAGCAGCAGCAGCAGCAGCAGCAGCAGAACCACCAGCAGCAGCAGCAGCACCAGAAGCAGCAGGAGCUAGCACUGAGGACAACUAUGAGGACUACUAUGGGCCUGGGCUAACUGGGAGAUGGUGACAAACUAGAGAAAGGAAGAGUUCUCUGAGCAGCACGUUGCUGUAGAGAGCCAUGUCCAGCAGCUCCCGGAUGAUGAGACUCUGGCUGCCUUGGCAUUGUGUCAUGGCCUGCCAGCUCCAGCAGCCCGUGGGUCAGGAACUCCAGGAUGGCUGUCAGGAAGAUGGGUACCUUUUCGCUCAGCCAUGGCACAUGGCCGCUCUGCUGAAGAUGGUGCUAACGCCAGAGUCGCAGAGAAGUUUUUCAUGGUGUGAAACGCUUGGGUCUUGUCCUCCAAAUUCUAAGAAAAGCAACCCAUUGCUGUUUAGUGAUCCAAAAAUCAAACAUACUGAGCAAGUAAAGGACGUGUUAAUUUUCUACUCUCGUCUUGAACCAAAAAACAAUGGGGCACAGUGAGACAAGUGGCCUGGACUACACCUGGCCCCAUGCAUUAACGCAGGCGACAACACACCACCUCCACAGGG
ensembl:lncRNA